rnacentral:lncRNA from 1 species
AACUCUUCAUGUUUCGAAAAUGGACUGGAAUGUUAAAAAUUGUUCUUCAUUUUCUAAAAAAUGCUUGCUUUUUCAAAAAUUGUUUAUAUUUUUAGAAGAAUGUCGUGUUUGAAAACGUGUACAUAAGUUACAAAAAUUUUCCAGCCUUAAAAAUUCGUUAGAAAUUUCAAAAAAUGUUCUUUUGAAGAAAAAAUGUUUCAAGCUUCUAAAAUACUCCUUUUUAUAUUUAUUUGUGUUUUUAUAAGUUCUUCAGAAAUUCAAAAUGAUAUCCAUUGAUAAAUUUCAUUCGUAAAUACAAAAAUUGUUUAAGUUUCAGAAAUUAAAACAAAUUGAAACAGAAACCAUUUAGAAAAAUGAGAAAGAGAAACACAAAUAAAAUAAAGAAUCAGAGAAAAAACUAAAUUGGAAAAUAACUAAAUAAAAAGCGAGAAAAAACAAACUGGUUAUCUGGGCCAGCCCAAUCGCUUCACUUGCGGCGGCAGUCCAGUCACUUUAUUCCGGCCUAUGCGAACCUAUCGGUAAUGGACGCAGAGUGCACCCAAUAGCAGGUUCCCCCUUUCGCCUUCUGUCGUAGUUGUAAGAAAGAACACAAAUUGCAUGUUGGAAGCCCGGUCAAUAGCGAAAUCACUAGUAGAGAACUACACCUUUUAACGAUUACUUCCACCUCCCUUGAUUACGACAAGUGGCAUACUACAUGCGUGACAUUUAUAGUAACCGGGGAGUUUUUUUUCUUUUUUCGUAGAUCCGUAUUUUCAAAGUGUUUUAUCUUCUAAACCAUGCGUUCAAAUCUUGAACUGUUUGCUUCGUCGGGUUUUUUUUUUGAAAUCUAUCUUUUCGGGUAAAAAAAAAAACAGACGGUCCCAUUUAGGAUCGCGGUCUCCUCCCGACGCCCGUGCCUCUUCCUCUCGGUGCUUCCCCACCUGGUGCCGCGCCACUCCUACUCCUCCUCCCACCGCCC